rfam:Cymbidium ringspot tombusvirus RNA
GAAAUCCUCCAGGACACCUCGACCUAGGUUGUGUAUCCGGUGAUUUGCGUACUGUUGCUUUGCGUAGAGGAUUUCUCUCCUGUUCACUACAUAUCAGGGGUUUGAAGGCAGGGUCUACCUUUCGGGGGGAUAAAUUGUAACUUCCUGCAAAUAAGCAAAAUG